rnacentral:tRNA from 2 species
GCUGCUAUAGCUCAGGGGUAGAGCGCGUCAUUGGUAAUGACGAGGUCGACAGUUCAAUUCUGUCUAGCAGCACCA